CAGCCGCCGCGGUAACACGAAGGGGGCUAGCGUUGUUCGGAAUUACUGGGCGUAAAGCGCACGUAGGCGGAUAUUUAAGUCAGGGGUGAAAUCCCGCAGCUCAACUGCGGAACUGCCUUUGAUACUGGGUAUCUUGAGUAUGGAAGAGGUUAGUGGAAUUGCGAGUGUAGAGGUGAAAUUCGUAGAUAUUCGCAGGAACACCAGUGGCGAAGGCGGCUAACUGGUCCAUAACUGACGCUGAGGUGCGAAAGCGUGGGGAGCAAACAGGAUUAGAUACCCCCGUAGUCCCUGUCUCUUAUAC
rnacentral:rRNA from 1 species